GAUGAACGCUGGCGGCGUGCCUAAUACAUGCAAGUCGAGCGAAUGGAUUAAGAGCUUGCUCUUAUGAAGUUAGCGGCGGACGGGUGAGUAACACGUGGGUAACCUGCCCAUAAGACUGGGAUAACUCCGGGAAACCGGGGCUAAUACCGGAUAACAUUUUGAACCGCAUGGUUCGAAAUUGAAAGGCGGCUUCGGCUGUCACUUAUGGAUGGACCCGCGUCGCAUUAGCUAGUUGGUGAGGUAACGGCUCACCAAGGCAACGAUGCGUAGCCGACCUGGGAGGGUGAUCGGCCACAAUGGGACUGAGACACGGCCAAGACUCCUACGGGAGGCAGCAGUAGGGAAUCUUCCGCAAUGGACGAAAGGCUGACGGAGCAACGCCGCGUGAGUGAUGAAGGCUUUCGGGUCGUAAAACUCUGUUGUUAGGGAAGAACAAGUGCUAGUUGAAUAAGCUGGCACCUUGACGGUACCUAACCAGAAAGCCACGGCUAACUACGUGCCAGCAGCCGCAGUAA
rnacentral:rRNA from 1 species